rnacentral:lncRNA from 1 species
CAACAUAAAAAUUAGUCACCCUACAAAUCUAUGCUCACAUGCCAUAUGUACUAACAAAGCAUUCUAGCAUAAAAAUUAAUCAUAAGCAACCUGGGAUUCAUACAAAUUAUAGAGAAGCCAUAAACAGUAUCUCUGUGCUAUGAUGUUCUUAGUUCAUAUGUAGUAAUGAAUCUUUUUCAGUUAAAAUUCAGACACUUCCUUCCGAACGAAGAAUUGGCCGGAAGGCCCCCCAUCAGGCAGCAGAGCCAAUCUCACAGGGCUUUCAGCACCUUCUUCGAUAGUUAAGAUGCCACUGUUGUAGUUUAGAUCUGUUUUGACAAAGCCAGGACAGACACAGUUGAUGCAAAGAGUAGGACACUUCCUGGCCAGAAUCCUUGUGUAGGCAUUCAAGGCUGCUUUUGAGACUGUAUAGGCAGAGACAUUAGAGGGCCAGCUUUUAGCUUCUAAUAAUCCCUCUUUGAAAUCUUUUAGAAACUGGUUUAAGACCUCAUCCACCCUCUCUUCUGUAAGGUUUUCAGCAUCACUUAACACUGCUUUUGCCCAUUCAUUCUUAAUAUUCUGGAACAACACAAAAAAGAAAAUUAAUGUAAGCAAAAAUACGACUUGGGGAAAUGCUUCAUUGACUCCCACACAAACAAAAGGCAACAGCCCUUAAUCAUUCACAGCAGAUGAUUUCCAGGAAAAUAAGCAAGUUAUGUGCAUUAUAUAAUAGUAUGCAUUACCUCAAUAUUAUUAAUUACACUUACCAAACAGCAUCAAUCAACCCUUUUCUUCAUAUGGUUUUCUUCUAAACAAAUCAAGAUGUGACAAGUAGAUCUUCCAUCACCAAUCUAAAGUUCAAUAAGCUUACAAAAAUAUUUUGCUCUGUUGACUCAAUCAAGGCAUCUUUUGAGUGGAGCUGUAAUGAAAAAUUCACAACGAAACUUGAUCCUUCCAAGUUUCAAACUGAAUCAUUUGGCUCCAAUCCAACUCUACUGAAUUUCAUCAAAUUGCCCAAUUACAAACAUGGUUGAACAUCUUAAGUAUAUAUCAACAUUGUAUUCUGAAUGAGGAUUAGUGUUAUUUUGCACCUGCAGCUUUCCCAUUGAGGAGGAAACAUUGACAAUCCUUGGCGAAUCUGAUAACUGGAGAAGAGGAAUGAAAGCUUCAAUCAUCCUCUUUGGCCCAUAAUAGUUUAUUUUCAGGCAUUCUUCCACCAGCUCGAAAGGCUCAAUCAUUAUUUCCUUCCAAUUGACUUUUCCUACUGCCUGCAAAAUAAAAUGAAGAAAAUCUCAAUCCUCUUGGUAGCCAUUAUAUUCCCUACUCCAACAUAAAAAGAGAAGAAGAAAACUGCUUCUGGUAUGCAACAAGAUUUUCUUCCAUAAUUCUAGUUUCUAGAAAAGAUUUUCAUCUUCCUUUCAAGAGAAGGUAGAAGAAAAACUCAACAGCAUGGGGCCUUAGAAGUCUAAAUGUUGCUCCUUUUCAACUUUCAAAUAUACCCCAAUGGCUAUUAGAAUUUCAAAUCCACUCUUCUUUGAACUUACAACCACAAUCAAUUGCUUUAAGCCAAUAAAGAAAUUGUGUAUGAUACCUUACCUCAGCAGAAGCAUAUCUUGACCUUAAAGCAUCAGGAUCCGUUACAACCGUUCCACCUAUCCCUGCAUUGUUCACCUGUCCAGUAUCACACAUUUCUAUUAUCCAAUUUUUAACUAUAAAAGAACAAAAAAAUAAAGAAAUAAAAAGAAAGUUAUUAGAUACCUUCCAGCUAUUUAGAGGUCCUCCAUUCCUCAAGAAAUAUUCACUUCAAAAAUUUUCAAAGAAUCAUGGUGGAUAAGGAGAGAUUUGUUUUCUCAAGUGCAAACAUAUAUGGAAUUCAUUGGCAAAUCCACCUCAUAAAAGUUUAUGCAACUCCAUAUGGAUUGAUGGAUAUAAAAAAGAGAGAAAAUGAUGGAACCGAGGAGAGUAAAUAGGGCACUGGUUUAUAGUGGAAUAAGUAUAAUGAUAUACAAUCUGGACAUUACACAAUACAAAAAUUCUACUUGUGGGAACGGUCAAACCAAAGGACACAUGUUAUACGAAGAGACACGAGUCAUUUGGCGAUAGGGAUUUCAAUGGCAAUGACCUAGAAUGACCGCCCUGCUUUGAGGCAACCAUUGCAACAAGAUGUGAACCUUUCCCCUCUUAGGAUGGCAGACAUUGCAUCUAUUGUGACGAGAUAAACAAUAAAUGCUAUUAACUCCUCCUACAUUGCAUCAGAAGAACCUUCAACAUAAAUUAUGAAGCUAUGAUAGUUAAUCAAGGACAAGAUUAGGUGAUCAAUCACUCAGCUAUAGAAUGGAGCAGACAGCUCAAUAACUGGUGGGAUCAGACCCACCAAAUCAGUGCAACCCUGAAUGAUAUAAAGACCCACAAGGGAAGGGGGAUUUCUCUAUUUUGAAUUCCUUCUCUUACCAAUUUAUCUAUUUAAGCCCUUGAGAUGCCCAUCAUCGACUUGAUCCUCAGAAAAGAAUUGACCUAACUGGCCUCCCCACUCUAACCAUGCAUUUUAGUGUUAUAGAGGAAGGCUCAUCAAUAAGAAAGGUUAGCAACUUGCUUGGAGGGUGAAACUCUACUCAGACAGAAAACUUUAGUUUUUAACAUGGACUAUGUAGCAUAUAUUUGGAUAAGGUUAUGCUCCAAUCUCCACUGCUAGCAAAAAUAGGGGCACAACCUCAAGGACCUGACUUCCCAGCUAGAAUUCUUCUUAGGUACUGUUUUUGUGGAUGGGAGAGGAUAGUUGAUAUAGAAGAGAAUCCAAAAGAAACAUUAGUCAAUCAUAUACGUCACAAUUUCAAUGUUUCUAGCGUAUUUCUCUCCAGUAAACCGAGGCCCUUCUUUCCUCACAUAGAACAACAACAAAAGGUUCUCCAUUUUGGUGGUUGCUUCAGAUAAAGUGGUCUAUCACAGUACAAAAGACAUGCCAAUUGAAGGCAAAUGGGAAAUUUGCUAUCUUAAAAAAUCAUCAUAAUCAUUGAAAUUGUCAGAGACAUUCAUAAACAUAUUCUCAGAAAAGGGGGAAAUUGAAAGGAAAAUUUUGGGUAAAUUGGGUAUGCUGUAAAUCAUCAAUCCAGGAGUAUCCAAGACUUGUGAUUGCCAUAAGAAGAACCAAUUAAACCAGAGAAAAAAAAAAAGGAAAAAAAUCAUCAAGAACUGAGGGUUUCAAUCUCACCAAGAUAUCAAGCUUCCCAAACUGGGCUUUGAUGAAAUCUGCAAUGGAAGAAAUACUAGCAGGAUCCCCAACAUCAAGCUGAUGAAAAACCAGAUUAGAGAGACCAGAUCCUUUGAGACUUUCUAGAGCUUCAAGACCCCUCUUCUCAUCUCUAGCUGUUAACACCACUCUCACCCCAUUGGCAGCCAACUGCCUACAUAUUUCCAACCCAAUCCCUUUAUUUGCUCCCGUAACAACUGCAUACCUGAGUCACACCCAAUACACAAGAAAGUAAGAACAACAGUUGUUUUAUAUGUGGUUGGAGAUUGUGAAAAGGGCCAUGGGAUAAAAACCAAGUACCUUGUUGCUGCUUCAGCCAUUGUUGAUGAGAUGGGUACUGUGUUUGAAGUGCGGAAGAAGAUGGAAUUUUUGUUUCAUUGCAAGGUUUGUUGUACUAAAAACAAGAGCAAUGAAGAUUAUUGUAAUGCAUUCGAUUGAGACAGAAAUUACAAUUUACAAGUAGAGUUGUUGUUCCCUUUCUUAUUUUUUGUGGUACUCAUGAUUGGAUAUCGACAAAUUUAACAGGCUUUAGUUUGAAUUGUUUGGCAAAUCAAACUUGGUGUUUGGUAAUUGUUUCUAAAACUGCUAUACUAUAUAACCAAUUUUUUUGAUAAUUCAUUUUAAAAAUAUAAAGUUUUUUAAAAUAGAUUUAAUAUAUUUUUUUUAUCAUUUUGUGUAAAAUAUUAUUAAAAAUUUACCUUUGAUUUUUCAAACACAAUCUUAUUUUAAUUAUUUUUUAAAAUUAUUCUUGAUAAAAAUAAAAUAAAAAUAACAAGCCUUAAAUUUUUUUAUUAUACAAAGUCUAAGGUUAAUUAUAAAUUUAGAUAAAAAAAAUUUCCUACACAAAACAAAGACUUUUAAAAACAAGUAGUAGACUUGGAAGAAAAAAGGAAAAAAUGAAAUUCUAUUUCAUAUAUUAUGAAAGCGUGGGCCUUUUUAUAAUUAUUUCAUUUAUUAUGAAAAUGAGUUUCCUAAAUAUUCCCUUAUAUUACCCAUGUGAUAGAUGGUUUCUCUUCUCAAUUAUUUUGGAUAUCUUUUUAAUUACUCUCUAAUUUCAAAUUAUUUGACAUUAACGAGUUCAACAAGACAAAUUGAAGUUUUGCCCUUUCAAUAUAAGUCCUUAAUUUGAAUUAACUUAUGCAAUUCUUUGAAUAUUUACAAUAUAUAUAUAUAUAUAUAUAUAUAUAUAUAUAUAUAUAUAUAUAUAUAUAUAUAUAUAUAUAUAAGGGUUUGACUUUGACAAACUCUUAUCUCCCUGCCCUUUGCACCUUACCCCUUGAGGAAUCUAUGGGAAAAAAACAAGACACUUGUAAAAAAUAAAACAAUACAUGAUUUAAAUUUAGAACAAGACAGAUGUUGACUCUUCAACAUUUUAAUAGAUAACGAAUUUAUUAUAGGACAAGUUCCAAAAAAUUAAUCAGUUUAUAAAUUUAUUAUAAUCUAAACCUAAUUUUUUAGCAUACAAACCACACCCAAGUUUCUAAAUAUGUAUGUGGUCAUAAAAGCAAUUGCAAAUGCAAGGCAGAUGAUGACGCUCAUGUGAUAAUGAAGAUUGAUUUUUUUCAUAUAGGAAAAUGACAUUGUGACAUCAUGGAUCACGCUUUGGAUAGUAAACUGCGUCUAUGAUGUCACUAAUGACGUUUUUUACAAGUUUCAACCAAUGAAACAUCAUUAAUUUAAUUUUUUUAAUCAUGUCAUGUGGUCAUAUAUAAAAGCAAGCACAAUAUUAUUAUUGUAAUGAAAAUUGAUAUUCUUAUACGAUAUAAUCCAAUGACUAAGUCAAAAAUUAAAUUAGACGGUUGGUUUUCAUUUCUUAUUUUUUUGUGGUACUCAUGAUUGAAUAUAAAUAAAUUUAAUACUAGUUUGAAUUGUUUAAAAAAUAAAACUUAAAAAGAAAAUGGUGUUUCAUAAUUGUAUAACUGUUUUGAGAAUUGUUAUAUGAUGUAAGUAUAUAAUCGUUUUAAAAUUUUUGAAAUAUGGUUUUUUUAGAAAAAAUAUGAAAUGUUUUUCAAUCAAAUCAUUUUUAUGGGUUAUUAUUAAAUAUAAUUGAGAUUAUGACAAGCACGUAUUUGAGAUUUUUUUUACAUUCAAAUUCUUAGAUAUAAUCAUGUUAGAAUUAUUUUUAAGAAUAGUUAUUAAUAAGAUAAAAAUCCCUAAAAUUUUCUAUUAUACUCAUUAAAAAAAAACUCCUUAUUGUAAGGUGAGUAUAUAAGAAAUUGAUUAUAAUUUUAAAAAAAAAAAUCUUCUAUUUUAAAGAGAACAACUUGGUUUUAGAACAAAUACUGAUAAAAACAAGUUUCAAUUGUUCAAGAAUCCAAGAUCACAAGUCAUUAUGCAGUUAGAAAGACAUUCCAACAUAAAAAUUAGUCACCCUACAAAUCUAUGCUCACAUGCCAUAUGUACUAACAAAGCAUUCUAGCAUAAAAAUUAAUCAGUUUAUAAAUUUAUUCUAAUCUAAACCUAAUUUUUUAGCAUACAAACCACACCCAAGUUUCUAAAUAUGUAUGUGGUCAUAAAAGCAAAUGCAAAUGCAAGGCAGAUGAUGACGCUCAUGUGAUAAUAAAGAUUGAUUUUUUUCAUAUAGGAAAAUGACAUUGUGACAUCAUGCAUCACACUUUGGAUAGUAAACUGCGUCUAUGAUGUCACUAACGACGUUUUUUACAAGUUUCAACCAAUGAAACAUCAUUAAUUUAAUUUUUUAUAAUCAUGUCAUGUGGUCAUAUAUAAAAGCAAGCAAAAUAUUAUUAUUGUAAUGAAAAUUGGUAUUCUUAUAUGAUAUAAUCCAAUGACUAAGUCAAAAAUUAAAUUAGACGGUUGGUUUUCAUUUCUUAUUUUUUUGUGGUACUCAUGAUUGAAUAUAAAUAAAUUUAAUACUAGUUUGAAUUGUUUAAAAAAUAAAACUUAAAAAAAAAAUGGUGUUUCAUAACUGUAUAACUGUUUUGAGAAUUGUUAUAUGAUGUAACUAUAUAAUCGUCUUAAAAUUUUUUAAAUAUGGUUUUUUUAGAAUAAAUAUGAAAUGUUUUUAAAUCAUUUUUAUGGGUUAUUAUUAAAUAUAGUUGAGAUUAUGACAAUUACGUAUUUGAGAUUUUUUUUUACAUCAGAUAUAAUCUUGUUAGAAUUAUUUUUAAGAAUAGUUAUUAAUAAGAUAAAAAUCCCUAAAAUUUUCUAUUAUACUAAUUAAAAAAAAAACUCCUUAUUGUAAGGUCAGUAAAUAAGAAAUUGAUUAUAAUUUUUUUUUUAAAAUCUUCUAUUUAAAAAAGAACAAUUUGGUUUUAGAACACUGAUAAAAACUAGUUUCAAUUGUUCAAGAAUCCAAGAUCACAAGUCAUAUGCAGUUAGAAAGACAUUCCAACAUAAAAAUUAGUCACCCUACAAAACUAAACUCACAUGCCAUAUGUACUAACAAAGCAUUCCAGCAUAAAAAUUAAUCAUAAGCAAUUCUGGGUAGUCUUAUUAGCCUAGGAUUCAUACAAAUUAUAGAGAAGCCAUAAACAGUAUCUCUGUGCUAUGAUGUGCUUAGUUCAUAUGUAGUAAUGAAUCUUUUUCAGUUAAAAUUCAGACACUUCCUUCCGAACGAAGAAUUGGCCGGAAGGCCCCCCAUCAGGCAGCAGAGCCAAUCUCACAGGGCUUUCAGCACCUUCUUCGAUAGUUAAGAUGCCACUGUUGUAGUUUAGAUCUGUUUUGACAAAGCCAGGACAGACACAGUUGAUGCAAAGAGUAGGAUACUUCCUGGCCAGAAUCCUUGUGUAGGCAUUCAAGGCUGCUUUUGAGACUGUAUAGGCAGAGAGAUUAGAGGGCCAGCUUUUAGCUUCUAAUAAUCCCUCUUUGAAAUCUUUUAGAAACUGGUUUAAGACCUCAUCCACCCUCUCUUCUGUAAGGUUUUCAGCAUCACUUAACACUGCUUUUGCCCAUUCAUUCUUAAUAUUCUGGAACAACACAACAAGAAAAGUGAUGUAAGCAAAAAUACGACUUGGGGAAAUGCUUCAUUGACUCCCACACAAACAAAAGCCAACAGCUCUUAAUCAUUCACAACAGAUAAUUUCCAGGAAAAUAAGCAAGUUAUGUGCAUUAUAUAAUAGUAUGCAUUACCUCAAUAUUAUUAAUUACACUUACCAAACAGCAUCAAUCAACCCUUUUCUUCAUAUGGUUUUCUUCUAAACAAAUCAAGAUGUGACAAGUAGAUCUUCCAUCACCAAUCUAAAGUUCAAUAAGCUUACAAAAAUAUUUUGCUCUGUUGACUCAAUCAAGGCAUCUUUUGAGUGGAGCUGUAAUGAAAAAUUCACAACGAAACUUGAUCCUUCCAAGUUUCAAACUGAAUCAUUUGGCUCCAAUCCAACUCUACUGAAUUUCAUCAAAUUGCCCAAUUACAAACAUGGUUGAACAUCUUAAGUAUAUAUCAACAUUGUAUUCUGAAUGAGGAUUAGUGUUAUUUUGCACCUGCAGCUUUCCCAUUGAGGAGGAAACAUUGACAAUCCUUGGCGAAUCUGAUAACUGGAGAAGAGGAAUGAAAGCUUCAAUCAUCCUCUUUGGCCCAUAAUAGUUUAUUUUCAGGCAUUCUUCCACCAGCUCGAAAGGCUCAAUCAUUAUUUCCUUCCAAUUGACUUUUCCUACUGCCUGCAAAAUAAAAUGAAGAAAAUCUCAAUCCUCUUGGUAGCCAUUAUAUGCCCUACUCCAACAUAAAAAGAGAAGAAGAAAACUGCUUCUGGUAUGCAACAAGAUUUUCUUCCAUAAUUCUAGUUUCUAGAAAAGAUUUUCAUCUUCCUUUCAAGAGAAGGUAGAAGAAAAACUCAACAGCAUGGGGCCUUAGAAGUCUAAAUGUUGCUCCUUUUCAACUUUCAAAUAUACCCCAAUGGCUAUUAGAAUUUCAAAUCCACUCUUCUUUGAACUUACAGCCACAAUCAAUUGCUUUAAGCCAACAAAGAAAUUGUAUAUGAUACCUUACCUCAGCAGAAGCAAUUCUUGACCUUAAAGCAUCAGGAUCCGUUACAACCGUUCCACCUAUCCCUGCAUUGUUCACCUGUCCAGUAUCACACAUUUCUAUUAUCCAAUUUUUAACUAUAAAAGAACAAAAAAAUAAAGAAAUAUAAAGAAAGUUAUUAGAUACCUUCCAGCUAUUUAGAGGUCCUCCAUUCCUCAAGAAAUAUUCACUUCAAAAAUUUUCAAAGAAUCAUGAUGGAUAAGGAGAGAUUUGUUUUAUCAAGUGCAAACAUAUAUGGAAUUCAUUGGCAAAUCCACCUCAUAAAAGUUUAUGCAACUCCAUAUGGAUUGAUGGAUAUAAAAAAGAGAGAAAAUGAUGGAACCGAGGAGAGUAAAUAGGGCACUGGUUUAUAGUGGAAUAAGUAUAAUGAUAUACAAUCUGGACAUUACACAACACAAAAAUUCUACUUGUAGGAACGGUCACACCAAAGGACACAUGUUAUACGAAGAGACACGAGUCAUUUGGCGGUAGGGAUUUCAAUGGCAAUGACCUAGAAUGACCGCCCUGCUUUGAGGCAACCAUUGCAACAAGAUGUGAACCUGUCCCCUCUUAGGAUGGCAGACAUUGCAUCUAUUGUGAUGAGAUAAACAAUAAAUGCUAUUAACUCCUCCUACAUUGCAUCAGAAGAACCUUUAACAUAAAUUAUGAAGUUAUGAUAGUUAAUCAAGGACAAGAUUAGGUGAUCAAUCACUCAGCUAUAGAAUGGAGCAGACAGCUCAAUAACUGGUGGGAUCAGACCCACCAAAUCAGUGCAACCCUGAAUGAUAUAAAGACCCACAAGGGAAGGGGGAUUUCUCUAUUUUGAAUUCCUUCUCUUACCAAUUUAUCUAUUUAAGCCCUUGAGAUGCCCAUCAUCGACUUGAUCAUCAGAAAAGAAUUGGCCUAACUGGCCUCCCCACUCUAACCAUGCAUUUUAGUGUUAUAGAGGAAGGCUCAUCAAUAAGAAAGGUUAGCAACUUGCUUGGAGGGUGAAACUCUACUCAAACAGAAAACUUUAGUUUUUAACAUGGACUAUGUAGCAUAUAUUUGGAUAAGGUUAUGCUCCAAUCUCCACUGCUAGCAAAAAUAGGGGCACAACCUCAAGGACCUGACUUCCCAGCUAGAAUUCUUCUUAGGUACUGUUUUUGUGGAUGGGAGAGGAUAGUUGAUAUAGAAGAGAAUCCAAAAGAAACAUUAGUCAAUCAUAUACGUCACAAUUUCAAUGUUUCUAACGUAUUUCUCUCCAGUAAACCGAGGCCCUUCUUUCCUCACAUAGAACAACAACAAAAGGUUCUCCAUUUUGGCGGUUGCUUCAGAUAAAGUGGUCUAUCACAGUACAAAAGACAUGCCAAUUGAAGGCAAAUGGGAAAUUUGCUAUCUUCAAAAAUCAUCAUAAUCAUUGAAAUUGUCAGACAUUCAUAAACAUAUUCUCGAAAGAGGGGGAAAUUGAAAGGAAAAUUUUGGGUAAAUUGGGUAUGCUGUAAAUCAUCAAUCCAGGAGUAUCCAAGACUUGUGAUUGCCAUAAGAAGAACCAAUUAAACCAGAGAAAAAAAAAAGGAAAAAAAUCAUCAAGAAAUGAGGGUUUCAAUCUCACCAAGAUAUCAAGCUUCCCAAACUGGGCUUUGAUGAAAUCUGCAAUGGAAGAAAUACUAGCAGGAUCCCCAACAUCAAGCUGAUGAAAAACCAGAUUAGAGAGACCAGAUCCUUUGAGACUUUCUAGAGCUUCAAGACCCCUCUUCUCAUCUCUAGCUGUUAACACCACUCUCACCCCAUUGGCAGCCAACUGCCUACAUAUUUCCAACCCAAUCCCUUUAUUUGCUCCCGUAACAACUGCAUACCUGAGUCACACCCAAUACACAAGAAAGUAAGAACAACAGUUGUUUUAUAUGUGGUUGGAGAUUGUGAAAAGGGCCAUGGGAUAAAAACCAAGUACCUUGUUGCUGCUUCAGCCAUUGUUGAUGAGAUGGGUACUGUGUUUGAGUGCGGAAGAAGAUGGAAUUUUUGUUUCCUUGCAAGGUUUGUUGUACUAAAAACAAGAGCAAUGAAGAUUAUUGUAAUGCAUUCGAUUGAGACAGAAAUUACAAUUUACAAGUAGAAAUGUUGUUCCCUUUCUUAUUUUCUGUGGUACUCAUGAUUGGGCAUCGACAAAUUUAACAGGCUUUAGUUUGAAUUGUUUGGCAAAUCAAACUUGGUGUUUGGUAAUUGUUUCUAAAACUGCUUUACUAUAUAACCAAUUUUUUUUGAUAAUUCAUUCUAAAAAUAUAAAGUUUUUUAAAAUAGAUUUAAUAUAUUUUUUUAUCAUUUUGUGUAAAAUAUUAUUAAAAAUUUACCUUUGAUUUUUCAAACACAAUCUUAUUUUAAUUAUUUUUUAAAAUUAUUCUUGAUAAAAAUAAAAUAAAAAUAACAAGCCUUAAAUUUUUUUAUUAUACAAAGUCUAAGGUUAAUUAUAAAUUUAGAUAAAAAAAUUUCCUACACAAAACAAAGACUUUUAAAAACAAGUAUUAGACUUGGAAGAAAAAAGGAAAAAAUGAAAUUCUAUUUCAUAAAUUAUGAAAGCGUGAGCCUUUUUAUAAUUAUUUCAUUUAUUAUGAAAAUGAGUUUCCUAAAUAUUCUCUUAUAUUACCCAUGUGAUAGAUGGUUUCUCUUCUCAAUUAUUUUGGAUAUCUUUUCAAUUACUCUCAAAUUUCAAAUCAUUUGACAUUAACGAGUUCAACAAGACAAAUUGAAGUUUUGCCCUUUCAAUUUAAGGCCUUAAUUUGAAUUAACUUAUGCAAUUCUUUGAAUAUUUACAAUAUAUAUAUAUAUAUAUAUAUAUAUAUAUAUAUAUAUAUAUAUAUGUAAGGGUUUGGCUUUGACAAACUCUUAUCUCUUUGUUCCUUGAGGAAUCUAUUAGAAAAAAACAAGACACUGUAAGAAAGAAAACAAUCCAGAAUUUAAAUUAAGAACAAGACAGAUGUUGACUCUUCAACAUUUUAAUAGAUAAUGAAUUUAUUAAAGGACAAGUUCCAAAAAAUUAAUCAGUUUAUAAAUUUAUUCUAAUUUAAACCUAAUUUUUUAGCAUACCAACCACACCCAAGUUUCUAAAUAAACCGCGUACCAAAAUAAUUAUUUUAUCAUCUUAAUUGUUUUUUAAUAGAAAAACAAAAAAAUACAAUAAAGGCUACAUGUGAAUGUACAUAAGAGGAGCGACACAAAUGCAACAGAAAUAGCGACUAGGAAUAAUUAAUUAACUAUGACCAUCUACCAUUUAAAUCAUUAAUAAAAUGUACAUUUUACAAUGAUUUUAAAAAAUAUUUUUAACGUUUUUAAUACUUAAUUUUUUUUUUCAAAUAUUAGAAAAUUUAAAAAUAUUUCCUAAAAUUAUUAUCAAAUGCCACCAAUGAAAGAGUCUUCUACUUUUUUUUAAUUGCUCCUCAUAUUAAAAUAAAAAUCUGAUUCCUUUAAAAUAUUAUAAAAGGAAGAAAAAAAAGACAUAAUUUAUGAGGAGUCUCGAGUAAAAAAGAGAGAAAAAAAGUCUAACCAUAAAUUCAAGAGAAAGAAAAUUUUGUUUACUGGCCAAAACCACAACUAGUGCUCUCAACAGCCAAAUGAGUGAAGUGCAAAAACCUUAAAAGUAUGAUACAACCUACGUAAGAUCACAGACGAUUACAACUUGCCUGGGAGAGUUUCUUAAAUGCAAAAACCAUCAUUUCAAGGUCAAACACAAUUUUUUAAUUAAACUAAAAUUUUAAAAAAUGUCAAAGUUACCCAUAUUACCCAAACAUAAAACUAAGCCUUCGUGGGUAGUCUAAUUAGCCCGAGAUUCAUGCAAGCCAUAUGAGAAGCAAUCAACAGAGUCUCCAUUCUAUGAUGUUCUUCUUUGACAUCCAGUAAUGAAUCAUUUUUAGUCAAAAUUCAGACACUUCCUUUUGUAGAAAGAAUUGACCAGAAGGCCCGCCAUCAGGCAGCAGAGCCAAUCUCACAGGGCUUUCAGCUCCUUCUUCAACAGUUAAGAUGCCGCUAUUGUAGUUUAUAUCUGUUUUGACAAAGCCAGGGCAGACACAGUUGAUGCAGAAAGUCGGGUAUUUCUUGGCCAUAAUCCUUGUGUAGGCAUUCAAGGCUGAUUUCGAGACUGUGUUGGCAGAGAGAAAAGUAGGCCAGCUUUUAGCUUCUAAUGAUCCCUCCUUGAAAUCCUUUAGAAACACAUUCAACACCUCAUCCACUCUCUCUUCUGUGAGGUUUUCAGCAUCACUUAACACUCCUUUAGCCCAUUCAUUUUUUAUAUUCUGUAACAACACAACAAUAAUAGUAAGGUGAGCAGGCAUUUUCUAGGAGCACAUUUCUCAAUUUGGAAAUAAAAACUCAAAAUUUAAAGAAAGUCCCUUCACCAAUGUCUCAAGAGAAGGCCAGUUGGGAAUAAAAGAAAAGAAACAUUGAAUGAUUCACGCAUACAAAAGCCAACAGCUCUUAAUCAUUCACAAGAGAUCAUUUUCAGAAAUAUGGGCAACCCAUGUACGUUAUAUUCAUAUCAUACCAUGUAUUACCCCCUAUGCGAGAGUAUCGAUCAACACUUUCCUUGAUGUGGUUUUCUUCCAAACAAACAAGAUGUGACAACUAGUAAAUUUUUUGUUGCUAAUCUAAACUUCAAUAAGCUCACUAAAAGCAUUUUGGUCCGUUGAAUUAACCAAAGCAAAUUUUGAGUGGAGUUGAAAUGAAAUUUCAGUACCAAACUUGACCCCACCUAGUUUCAAAUGGACUCUAUGUGGCUCUCGUUCAAGUCAAAUUGCAGUUCCAAACUUGGUUGAACAUGUGAGAUGGGUGCCACCACUUUAUUUUUGUUUGAGGAUUAAUGUCAAAUUUUUGUACC